rnacentral:tRNA from 1 species
UCUCUGGUGGUCCAGGGUCAAAGACUCUGCACUCCCAAUGCACGGAACCAGGUUCAAUUCCUGGUCGGGGAA